UACGUGAGGUGGCAAGCGUUGUCCGGAUUUACUGGGCGUAAAGAGCGCGCAGGCGGUCGUUUAAGUCGAAUGUGAAAGCCCCCGGCUCAACUGGGGAGGUCAUUCGAAUACUGAUCGACUUGGAAGGCAGGAGAGAGAAGUGGAAUUCCCGGUGUAGUGGAUGAAAUGCGUAGAGUAUCGGGAGGAACACCAGUGGCGAAGGCGGGUCUGCUGGGCCGUAACUGACGCGUGAGGAGCGGAAAGCGUGGGGAGCAACAGG
rnacentral:rRNA from 1 species